AAGACUAUAGACCUGCGGAGUACCUGCGGAAGGAUCAUUAUUGAAUUAUGUUUCUAAAUGGGUUGUAGCUGGCUCGUCAGAGCAUGUGCACGCCUGUUUGGACUUCAUUUUCAUCCACCUGUGCACCUAUUGUAGUCUUUGGUUGGGUAUCAAGGUAGUGGUCAGCCUAUCAGCACUUGCUGGAUGUGAGGACUUGCAGUGUGAAAGCUUUGCUGUCCUUUACUUGAUCAUGGAGUUGUU
rnacentral:misc_RNA from 1 species